UAAGUCUGUUUUUGUCUCUUGAGUGCCAUAUGGAGGACAAAAGCGUUCUAUUUCUCCUUAUGCACCCCAGAGACAAAAACUAACAUU